CUGGAAUUCCAAGGCCAGGUGAACCCCCCCAGCUCUCCCAGCCUGGCUCCAGAGCAGAGGGGCUCCAGCCCUGGGAGCAUCUCCGUGGGCUCCUCUGGACUGGCUCCAG